UUACAUCUGCAAUUCUCACGUCCAAACGCAAUAUCCCAAAGUGGCGCAAAACGUCAGAAACGAGUGGAAAUAUGUUUACAAUUUUGAUAACUACAAGCAAGGCGUAAGGACAGAAGAAUGUGUCUUGCAGAUCAUUCCAGGGAACGCCGCGGGAAGUUAGGACGAAGUGUAUGCAAAAGUACAGCGAUAUGUUGCUGUUGGUUGCCGAUGAAUACGGAAAACCUGUGUGGGAUUUAUUCUGGUUUCCUUCCGCCUGUGUCUGUGCAUACGAACCAAUUAUUAAUUUUAACCGAGUUUAGGAGAGUUUGCUGACAACUAAUUUUCCUUAAAUUGCGAUCAAUAGACGUGUCUUUGAAGCUGAAAUGUUAUACCAUUUCCCGGUACAAUAAAACUUUGAUUCUAUACAUUCGUUUUUUUUUUCCACCUUUUCUAAUGAAAUAAAAGUAAACAUGAGUUUUGAUGUCACGGCGACCUGUAAAUUCUUGUGAAAGAAUUUCGUAGUCGAAUACCCUUCGGAGCCGGUCUCCUGCUGUUAGUGAAAAUGAUGGUCAAGGUGGUGGACGGUAAGUAUCAUUAACUCUUAAUCCUUUGCUGUUAGUGUCAGAUGUACCUGUUCAGAAGACAGUACACAACCUUCAGUGGCAGUGGAAGAAAUGUGGGUUUUUGUGUUGGUUUUUGCCGUUUUCAAAGAGGUAGGAAUAUAUCUUGUGAAGCGCUGUGUGAUUAAGCUGUUACAAGUUUGAUUAAUAAAUUGAUUUUUAGUUGGGCACCAUGUCAUUUAAUCCAGCCAAGAUGGGUAAGUUUAGCAAGCGUUAAUCAGUGUAAACUAAUCUCAGAGAAUAUAACAGAAUAACACAAAGUUUUUUAAUGAAGACACUCUAAUUUUUUCUCUCAUUCGUCUUCUAAUUGUGUAAUUUUAAACUGGUUUUAAUGAGGAAAGAAGUAGUAAAUUCGUAGUUUUAGAUGAUCGCAAGGGUUUGACCUUUCCGGAUUCGAGUGAAAUUGGGGGUGAUUUUUUGUACGAGACGGUGGUCCCCAACUGCCAAAAUCACACGUACUGUGAACACUUGGACCGCUACCCUAAAGAACUAUUUUCCAAAAUAUUAAAAAGCCGCGAAAAGGAGUUUUCUCGGUACUUUCAGAGUAUGGCAGUAAUAGAGCCCAUUAUGAGUAGGAACCAAGACACUUCCUGUAUUUGUGCAUCACGCAAAAGUAUUAUAUACCCAAAAGCGGCAUAUAAUAUAAAAAAUAAUCUGAAAUUUAUCUACAACUUCGAUGGAUACAAACAAGGAGUGUCCGUAGAGGUCUGCGUGAUGUAAGUUUUUUAAAUUUUAUUGUGAAUAAGGACGGACUUUAGUACGUGUUUUAGAAAAAAUCAAAUGUGCAAAUUUUACGAGAAGGUGAGAAAGUUAAAAACAAGGUGUCGACAAAAGUUCGUCGAAAAAUUGUUACUGACGGCUGAUGAAAAUGGAAGACCGUACGCUGAUAGGUACAGAUUUCCAUCAGCUUGUGUCUGUUCGUACAAGAUAAUUAGCUCUAAUGUGUUUUUUACUUAAAGUUGGGGUAAGUUUCGUAAUUUAAAUUUUGUUUCACCUACUAACUCAUUUUUAGUAACUGCAGAGUAAUACAUUUACUUUGUGGAGAAGUGAACUGAGACGAUUUUAUCCCUGUAAUUAUCGCAGUAUUAGGUGGAAGAAAACGAUAGGUAUUAAUCACAAUUUAGUGAAUCCCAGCUAAUAAUUCUUGAAAAGUAAUUACGUGUGAUUUGUGUGAUUAUGACGAAUUGUAGGUACGUAAGUUAUUGUGGACUAAUGUGUGUUUUUAUAAUUAAAUUUUAGCAAUUUUAGUCCGGACGUUAGUCAAGUUUUUAUUUAUUGUUACAAGCUUUACCAGUGUCUGAAACUGUUUAAGCAUUUUAUGAAAUAUUAUGUUAGAACUAGCUUAAGCAUUAAAAAUGUACAAACAGACGAAAAGUAUUGUAGUAUUGUAAAUUUAUGUGUACUAUAAACUGUAAUUAAUAAAGCUGUUGAUGUUCGAAUGAACUUAUUUUAUGUGGGAAAAUAAAUAAAAUUUGUUGCAAACAGGAAAGCUGUUAAUAACUGAAACUUAAAUGAAUUUCCUUCAGUUUUGUUUGAGGAACGGUGUGGUCUGAUGUGCGUCCGUGAUGCUGAGUUAUUUGUAUUUGAAAUAAGAAGCCUCUAAUUUAAUAGUAAUAGGUGAGUUGGUUAAAUUCAACCAAAACGUAGUGUGGGCUCUUCUUGCACCUUUAUUGUAACAAAAAAAUUCCACAUAUCUCACUCUUAAUACUUUAAUUAAUUGCUGUUGUGUUUUGAGGGGGGAUUUAUUGGUUUUAUGAAUUUAUUUAAAUAGUUUAAAAAAAAUUUUGGCUUGUGGGGCUAAGGAUAUUCUAAUAGAAUUUUAAAUAAUUCAUAUUUGUUUAGUUUUUUCUGGAUUGUUUUUGUUUUGAAGAACGGUUUUUUUUCUUUUUAGAAUUUAUUUUAUUGUUGAGGGAUUAACUUGAUUUUUGGAAUUUAAUUUGUUAAUAAUUAACUCUAGAAGAAUUGUUAUGACUUUUUUAUUUGACUGAAUAUCAUUUCUUUUUAUGAGAUUUGUAUUAUUUAUUUCUAGUAUAGUAAUUUUUUAUAGGCGUGAAUAUAUGGUAGGGGCUCCAAAAUGUAAUUUUAACAUUCGGUCCUUUCGUACUAGAACAUUAACAUAAAUAAAAGAUAGAAACCAACCUGGCUCACGCCGGUUUAAACUCAGAUCAUGUAAAAUUUUAAAGGUCGAACAGACCCAAUAUUCCAGCUUCUACACCGAAAAUUAAUUUUAAUCCAACAUCGAGGUCGCAAACUUUUCUGUAAAUAUGAACUUUCAAAAAAAAUUACGCUGUUAUCCCUAAGGUAAUUUAAUCUUUUAAUCCAAAAUUCAGGAUCAACAAUUCACUAAUCAGUGUAAAAACAAAAAAAAAGUUAAAUCAAUUUUCCUAUCACCCCAACAAAAUUCUUUAAACUAUCAAGGAAAAGAAAACUUCAAUACCAAUAAAAACUUAAAAAAUAAAACUCUAUAGGGUCUUCUCGUCUUUUUAAAAAAUUUAAGCAUUCUCACUUAAAAUUCAAAUUAUAAUACAAUUAAUUAGAGACAGUUAAUUUCUCAUUAAACCA